UGUGAACUCGAAGAGUAGGGCGGGACACGUGGUAUCCUGUCUGAAUAUGGGGGGACCAUCCUCCAAGGCUAAAUACUCCUGACUGACCGAUAGUGAACCAGUACCGUGAGGGAAAGGCGAAAAGAACCCCGGCGAGGGGAGUGAAAAAGAACCUGAAACCGUGUACGUACAAGCAGUGGGAGCACCUUCGGGUGUGACUGCGUACCUUUUGUAUAAUGGGUCAGCGACUUAUAUUCUGUAGCAAGGUUAACCGUAUAGGGGAGCCGCAGGGAAACCGAGUCUUAACUGGGCGUUAAGUUGCAGGGUAUAGACCCGAAACCCGGUGAUCUAGCCAUGGGCAGGUUGAAGGUUGGGUAACACUAACUGGAGGACCGAACCGACUAAUGUUGAAAAAUUAGCGGAUGACUUGUGGCUGGGGGUGAAAGGCCAAUCAAACCGGGAGAUAGCUGGUUCUCCCCGAAAGCUAUUUAGGUAGCGCCUCGUGAACUCAUCUUCGGGGGUAGAGCACUGUUUCGGCUAGGGGGUCAUCCCGACUUACCAACCCGAUGCAAACUACGAAUACCGAAGAAUGUUAUCACGGGAGACACACGGCGGGUGCUAACGUCCGUCGUGAAGAGGGAAACAACCCAGACCGCCAGCUAAGGUCCCAAAGUCAUGGUUAAGUGGGAAACGAUGUGGGAAGGCACAGACAGCCAGGAUGUUGGCUUAGAAGCAGCCAUCAUUUAAAGAAAGCGUAAUAGCUCACUGGUCGAGUCGGCCUGCGCGGAAGAUGUAACGGGGCUAAACCAUGCACCGAAGCUGCGGCAGCGACACUAUGUGUUGUUGGGUAGGGGAGCGUUCUGUAAGCCUGCGAAGGUGACCUGUGAGGGUUGCUGGAGGUAUCAGAAGUGCGAAUGCUGACAUAAGUAACGAUAAAGCGGGUGAAAAGCCCGCUCGCCGGAAGACCAAGGGUUCCUGUCCAACGUUAAUCGGGGCAGGGUGAGUCGACCCCUAAGGCGAGGCCGAAAGGCGUAGUCGAUGGGAAACAGGUUAAUAUUCCUGUACUUGGUGUUACUGCGAAGGGGGGACGGAGAAGGCUAUGUUAGCCGGGCGACGGUUGUCCCGGUUUAAGCAUGUAGGCUGGUUGUCCAGGCAAAUCCGGAUAAUCAAGGCUGAGGUGUGAUGACGAGGCACUACGGUGCUGAAGUAACAAAUGCCCUGCUUCCAGGAAAAGCCUCUAAGCAUCAGGUAACAUCAAAUCGUACCCCAAACCGACACAGGUGGUCAGGUAGAGAAUACCAAGGCGCUUGAGAGAACUCGGGUGAAGGAACUAGGCAAAAUGGUGCCGUAACUUCGGGAGAAGGCACGCUGGUGUGUAGGUGAAGCCCCUGCGGGUGGAGCUGAGACCAGUCGAAGAUACCAGCUGGCUGCAACUGUUUAUUAAAAACACAGCACUGUGCAAACACGAAAGUGGACGUAUACGGUGUGACGCCUGCCCGGUGCCGGAAGGUUAAUUGAUGGGGUUAUCCGUAAGGAGAAGCUCUUGAUCGAAGCCCCGGUAAACGGCGGCCGUAACUAUAACGGUCCUAAGGUAGCGAAAUUCCUUGUCGGGUAAGUUCCGACCUGCACGAAUGGCGUAAUGAUGGCCAGGCUGUCUCCACCCGAGACUCAGUGAAAUUGAACUCGCUGUGAAGAUGCAGUGUACCCGCGGCAAGACGGAAAGACCCCGUGAACCUUUACUAUAGCUUGACACUGAACAUUGAGCCUUGAUGUGUAGGAUAGGUGGGAGGCUUUGAAGCGUGGACGCCAGUCUGCGUGGAGCCAACCUUGAAAUACCACCCUUUAAUGUUUGAUGUUCUAACGUUGGCCCCUGACCGGGGUUGCGGACAGUGUCUGGUGGGUAGUUUGACUGGGGCGGUCUCCUCCCAAAGCGUAACGGAGGAGCACGAAGGUUAGCUAAUCCUGGUCGGACAUCAGGAGGUUAGUGCAAUGGCAUAAGCUA
rnacentral:rRNA from 1 species